CACGGAAGCUGAAUGUCGAAAUAUGUGCAGGUGAAGUAUAUCUGCCCGUACUGUCAGUCUUCCCAUAAUAAUGUCCUGGAGAUCUCUGUCUGGCUCUGCACAGUAUACACAGCCUGAUCGUUCCUCUCCACACAAA